rnacentral:rRNA from 1 species
CACCAGACUCCUACGGGAGGCAGCAGUGGGGAAUAUUGGGCAAUGGGGGAAACCCUGACCCAGCGACGCCGCGUGAGGGAAGAAGGUUUUCGGAUUGUAAACCUCUGUCCUUGGUGACGAUAAUGACGGUAGCCAAGGAGGAAGCCACGGCUAACUACGUGCCAGCAGCCGCGGUAAUACGUAGGUGGCAAGCGUUAUCCGGAUUUAUUGGGUGUAAAGGGCGUGUAGGCGGGAGCGCAAGUCAGAUGUGAAAACUCAGGGCUCAACCCUGAGCCUGCAUUUGAAACUGUGUUUCUUGAGUGCUGGAGAGGCAAUCGGAAUUCCGUGUGUAGCGGUGAAAUGCGUAGAUAUACGGAGGAACACCAGUGGCGAAGGCGGCCUGCUGGACUGCAACUGACGUUGAGGCUCGAAGGCGUGGGGAGCAAACAGGAUUAGAUACCCGAGUAU